rnacentral:tRNA from 1 species
UAUAUUUAAGUAUUUUUGUACGAAAGUUUUUGAAACUUUAAGAAGUAAGCAAGUCUUGCUAAAUAUAA